GGUACGCAGCUGGAAGUUGAAUGUUUGAAGGGGUACGGAACUAUAAAAUGUUUGGGAACCACUGAUUUAGUGGAAAACCAGUGUAGCUAGAUUGAAGAUAAUUUACCAAUUUUGACUUUGUGGCUGUGGUAACUAGUGACAACCCAACAGAUUCGGUGAAUUUGAGACUGGAUGCAGAUUCGAUAACAGUUACGGACAAGAUUGAAGAGUUGAGCAACAAUGUCUUCUGAACAGGUACAAUUUUUUUUUAUACAUGUUAUAAUAUUCACAUUGUCAGCCACUAACAUUAGCCAUGUCAAGGCAACUAGCUAACUUAGCUAGCUACAUGGUUGAUAAUAGCUACUGUAAAUUUCACUGCCUGGUACAAGAUAGCAAUAUCACGAUUGCUAGAUAGCUAGCUAAUAACAUUACUGAGAUGGCCCCUUGAUUCUCGAGAGCUAUGGCUGUGAAGAUGUGAAUGGAUUGUAACGUAAACUCACCCCAUUCCGUUCAAAUGUGUGGAACGGCGACAUUCAAACGAGGCUGCAAUGAAAACGAAUGGGACUGUAGUGACUGUGUUGGCAUCAAAAUCCGGGGUGUGAACUACGUUUCGAUUCAGCGUUGAUUGACAUGGUAAUGGACUAACAGUAUUGGAGAAAAGAUGAAUAAACUGACCCCUCUGAUGCUGUACGUUACAUCGUGACGUGUCACUACGUAACGUACAGCACGCAUUUGCAACUCAUUUUGUGCCGUACAGCCUCUUUCCACCAGGGGUAGCCCUUCUCUCGCAGAUUAAAAUCAUGCUUAACCAUAUACACUUGUAAGAAAACUUCAUGAUUCAUGAUUUUUGUCUAAAUUAAUAUAAUUAUUGCAAAUAUUAAACUAAUAUUUCAUGACUAGGGUGCCAAUUGCAUUUUUUUGCACGUCAUUACUGCGAGCCAUCAUGACACUCAAAAGCCGGAACAGCUGCAGUUUACUUGUGAGGCUAACGUUAGCGCAGCCCUAAACCCCUCUUCAAAUUCGACACAAACCUUCAAACAGGAUUCCAGUUUUGAAGAGCCGCAGAUCAUCCAGGGGCACAGGCAUGGCUGCAGAAAGAAUUGGACAGGAAGACAUUGAAAGGGCUGCCCGACUGAAAGAAGAGAGGCUGGCCGAGAUGGUUAACUUGCAAGAGCUGUCCUUUGAAGAAAGGGGAGAGGUGCUGGAGCUGUCCGCUACCCGCCUACAUGAAGUGAUUUUUGGCCUCAUGGAGUACCGGAGAGCUAUCCCAGGGUCUCCGGCCAACUUCGCGAGUGCACCUGCAUGAAUCGCAGGGAGACUCCUGCACCUUACAACACACAACUGCUGCCAUUUCACCAUUUCAAUAUUCCAUGUAUUUAUUAAGUACUGUAUGUUUGCAUAACAGGUUAACACCUUCCAUGACUACACUGUACUUUAUUCUUCAUUUGGAUCCCCAUUAGGAAAAAUACUCAAUUUGGGGAUUUCUUUGUAAGUUUUUGUGUGUGCAUUUUUCCUUGGUCUGGGUGAUGUCAGUUCAGUACUUUAUCAGAAUGUUUCCCCUUACACUGUGCUUUUGUUAUUUUUACCAAAGUUACAGAGACUACCUUGUAUCCUUGUUUAUCUCCCUAAUAAAACUAUUUGACCUGA